rnacentral:rRNA from 1 species
CAGUCGCCGCGGGAAUACGUAGGGUGCAAGCGUUAAUCGGAAUUACUGGGCGUAAAGCGUGCGCAGGCGGUUCGUUAAGACAGAUGUGAAGUCCCCGGGCUUAACCUGGGAACUGCAUUUGUGACUGGCGGGCUAGAGUAUGGCAGAGGGGGGUAGAAUUCCACGUGCAGCAGUGAAAUGCGUAGAGAUGUGGAGGAAUACCGAUGGCGAAGGCAGCCCCCUGGGAUAAUACUGACGUUCAUGCUCGAAAGCGUGGGUAGCAAACAGGAUUAGAUACCCCGGUAGUCCCUGUCUCUUAUAC